rnacentral:rRNA from 1 species
GAUGAACGCUAGCGGCAGGCUUAACACAUGCAAGUCGAGGGGUAACGAUGAGUGCUUGCACUCAGGCGACGACCGGCGAACGGGUGCGUAACGCGUAUAGAAUCUGCCCUGUACAGGAGGAUAGCCUUUAGAAAUGAAGAUUAAUACUCCAUAAUGUUAUUUGGUGGCAUCAUUAAAUAAUUAAAGAUUUAUCGGUACAAGAUGACUAUGCGUCCUAUUAGUUAGUUGGUAAGGUAACGGCUUACCAAGGCGGCGAUAGGUAGGGGGUCUGAGAGGAUUAUCCCCCACACUGGUACUGAGACACGGACCAGACUCCUACGGGAGGCAGCAGUGAGGAAUAUUGGACAAUGGGCGCAAGCCUGAUCCAGCCAUGCCGCGUGCAGGAAGACUGCCCUAUGGGUUGUAAACUGCUUUUAUACAGGAAGAAACACCAAUACGUGUAUUGGCUUGACGGUACUGUAAGAAUAAGCACCGGCUAACUCCGUGCCGGCAGCCGCGGUAAUACGGAGGGUGCAAGCGUUAUCCGGAAUCAUUGGGUUUAAAGGGUCCGCAGGCGGUCGAUUAAGUCAGAGGUGAAAUCUCACAGCUUAACUGUGAAACUGCCUUUGAUACUGGUUGACUUGAGUCAUAUGGAAGUGGAUAGAAUAAGUAGUGUAGCGGUGAAAUGCAUAGAUAUUACUUAGAAUACCGAUUGCGAAGGCAGUCCACUACGUAUGUACUGACGCUCAUGGACGAAAGCGUGGGGAGCGAACAGG